rnacentral:tRNA from 1 species
UGAGGUAUGGCUCAAGUAGUAGAGCAUCUGUCUAGCAAGUAUAAGGCCCUGAGUUCAAUCCUCACUGCCACCA